CAGCUGGAACUGGCCUUUUCCCAUUAGCCAGUACCAAAGGUUGCAUCUGAUUAAUCAUCAUGAGGAACUAAUGACCAGAUUUAUAUCAUGAAAGUUACAUCUUAAACCUCAAACUUUCCUCUGGAAACUCUGGUUCAGGAACUGUUUUCUGCUCUGAGUUCUCAGAUGUGGCUGUUUUAAGGAGCUGGUAUUUUUAUAGUGUUUUAGUGACACGUAUUUAAUCCGUAUGUCUGCAUGAGGUAUUUGUAGAUCUGAUCCAUUUGAUGUUUGUCCUCUCUGUUUUUUUAAUGAACUGAGACAUUAAGUUUAUGACUAGAAGGUUCUAUUGUGACAUAAAAAUAGUAAAAGGUUUUUAUUUUGGCUGUGAUCACUGAGCACACUUUAUUUAGUUCCUGUUACACCCAGUCUACACUGAACACCUCCCUGUUGAAAGGAACCAGGAGCCUUCACACCAGGAUGAAGUUCCAUCCCGACUCACUGUGAAGAGGUUUCCACUCAGCAGCCUGUAAGUCAGCAGUGUGUUAGUGGAAAAAGUGGCGUUGACUUUGACCCGGCUGCAGCUGACUCAGUGGCCCGAGGCCAAGUGUGAGGAUUUGGUGCAGUGUAACGUGUGAGGCGUCAUGUUCUCACGUCGGCUCGACUCCAACAGCAAAAACAUGGCCUCGUUCUCCUGCUAAUGAGCCACAAAACCCAUUCAUUAAAACACUUUAAUCCUUUAAACAAACACACUGAAGACAGAGGAGUGUGUUAUUACUGUGUGAAAUGUGGAGAGACAAUCACACAUCACACAGAAUGAGUCAGUAAGAUAAAACCUACAUCUUGUCAUGUUGCUGAGAAACAGAAUAAACUUCUCUGUCCUGAAGACAUUACAGCUUUCCCUCUGUCACUGGAGACUCCUUCCAUAACGUUCCAUAAACACAUCUGUCCUUCCAUAACGUUCCAUAAACACAUCUGUCCUUCCAUAAACGUUAAGACUUUAAAUUUGAGUCUGUUUGAUUUGUUGACUGUGCAGUGAAUUUCAAGGGAAAAUAAAAACUGCAGCUCAGUUUUUUGGC